CUCUCCUACUCCGAUCCUCCUCUUCUCCUCCCCGUCGGCUGUAUGCGCACGCGCGGCAAGAACUGCGCGCGCAUUCAGCCGGUCACAUAGGAAAGCAUUCAUAAUGCUUUCCUAUGGACGCUGGCGUGGUCUCACUGUGAAAAUCACAGUGAGAGGACAGCCGCUAGAGGAAAUAGGGGAAGGCUUAACCCAUUCAGAAACAUAGCAGUUUCUCUGAAACUGCUAUGUUUAUGAAAAAAU